rnacentral:rRNA from 1 species
AUUGAACGCUGGCGGCAGGCCUAACACAUGCAAGUCGAGCGGAUGAAGGUAGCUUGCUACCUGAUUCAGCGGCGGACGGGUGAGUAAUGCCUAGGAAUCUGCCUGGUAGUGGGGGACAACGUUUCGAAAGGAACGCUAAUACCGCAUACGUCCUACGGGAGAAAGUGGGGGAUCUUCGGACCUCACGCUAUCAGAUGAGCCUAGGUACGAUUAGCUAGUUGGUGAGGUAAAGGCUCACCAAGGCGAUGAUCGUUAACUGGUCUGAGAGGAUGAGCAGUCACAUUGGAACUGAGACACGGUCCAGACUCCUACGGGAGGGAGCAGUGGGGAAUAGUGGACAGUGGGCGAAAGCCUGAUCCAGCCAUGCCGCGUGUGUGAAGAAGGUCUUCGGAUUGUAAAGCACUUUAAGUUGGGAGGAAGGGCAGUAAGUUAAUACCUUGCUGUUUUGACGUUACCGACAGAAUAAGCACCGGCUAACUUCGUGCCAGCCGCCGCAGUAAAAC